UGUGUCCCGGGUCCUCCAGUGUGGACAGAGCAUGUGGACACCCGGGGAGGUAAAGGCAGGAGAGAUGGAUGGCCUAGGGGUGAGGGGAGACCUGAGCAAGAGACUGGGAGAGACUCAGGUAGACGCCAGCCAGACAGGAGAGAGAAUAAGAGUGACAGAGGCACCCAUGGAGUUAGAGAAAGCGAGUCAGGCCACUGUGAGAGCCCUAGGACAAGAGGCAGACAGACACAGAGACAGAGAGAGGCAGAGACACACAGAGAGAUCGGCAGAGAGGGCCAGCAGUUCUCGGUACAGCUGAGGCUCACAGAGCUAAUCCGUGGUGGACUCAGGAGCCAGGCGCUAACCACUGGUCUGCACGGCCCAGCGAGGGAAGCCUGCUCUCCAGCUGGCUCUGUCCCCCCCUACCCCUGUCCCCCCAACAUUCCUGCUGCAGCUCUUCACCCAGAUGAAGGGGUGGAGCAGAGCCAAGAGCUGAUGUGCAUCCCACUGAGCUGAUUGCCGGCUCCAGACAGACCAGGCAGGACUGGGGACGCCCGAGAAUACCAGCAUGGACAAGUGACACUCCCUGCCCCGAGGUUACCUGCCACCCUUGGACUGACUUGACCGGGAUUGAGCUUCCCCCACCCAGUGGUGCAGGGCUCCAAAUAGAGAUGAUGUUGAAUUAAGUAAAAGCCUACUGAGCUACUGUAUCCUUGCCCAGAAGGGAAAACUGAGCCUUGCUCAUCCACAGCCACGUGGCAAGUAAGUGCUGGGGCCGGGAUGUGAACUCAGGUCCACCUGAUUCCCACAUCAGUACUCUUUAGCCCCAUGGUGCUCCAUGGUGACCCCUGCCUGGGAUUAUCAGGCUACGUGGACAGAUACCUGGAGAGGACACUCCACUGCCAGAUAAAGAGGCGAGGUGGGUGACCUCCUAACCUGAAAACCAUUGGUUUAAAUCCAUCAUUUGGCUCAGCCAAUGUUAUCCAAGCACUAGGCACCCAGGGGAGUCAAAGAUGGAUGAGAGGGUGAGACCUGGGGGAGAAAAAGCAGGUGGGAGGUGAGAGACGUGUCCACAGGAGAGGUGACAAGGCCUGAGCCAGGGCAGUGGCCAGGAAGACAGGAGGAUGGUCUGAGAAGCUGAGGCAACAGGAUGCAUGGGACCUGCUGCCUGGGGGUGAGUUGG